rnacentral:rRNA from 1 species
CCUACGGGAGGCAGCAGUAGGGAAUCUUCCGCAAUGGACGAAAGUCUGACGGAGCAACGCCGCGUGAACGAUGAAGGCCUUCGGGUCGUAAAGUUCUGUUGUUAGGGAAGAACAAGUGCUAGUUGAAUAAACUGGCACCUUGACGGUACCUAACCAGAAAGCCACGGCUAACUACGUGCCAGCAGCCGCGGUAAUACGUAGGUGGCAAGCGUUGUCCGGAAUUAUUGGGCGUAAAGCGCGCGCAGGCGGUUUCUUAAGUCUGAUGUGAAAGCCCCCGGCUCAACCGGGGAGGGUCAUUGGAAACUGGGAAACUUGAGUGCAGAAGAGGAAAGUGGAAUUCCAAGUGUAGCGGUGAAAUGCGUAGAGAUUUGGAGGAACACCAGUGGCGAAGGCGACUUUCUGGUCUGUAACUGACGCUGAGGCGCGAAAGCGUGGGGAGCAAACAGGAUUAGAUACCCUGGUAGUCCACGCUGUAAACGAUGAGUGCUAAGUGUUAGAGGGUUUCCGCCCUUUAGUGCUGAAGUUAACGCAUUAAGCACUCCGCCUGGGGAUACGGUCGCAAGACNGAACACAAGAAGUAGACGGCGUGAGACGUGCCGACGGACGACGACGAGGGAGGUUAGG